rnacentral:sRNA from 1 species
CUCCAUAGGGGUAACAUCCCCUAAAAAAAAUUUAGUUUCGGUUAUACUAGUUACAAAAUUGUUGUGUGAAAAAUAAAAUUUUAGUAAAAUUUAAAAUGUGAACAAAAUCAGAAGAGCUCUACACAAAUCGGCACACAUAAUACCUCGUUAAGACUAAUAUAUAUAUAUCGGCCAACGCAAAUACACGGACACUUUGAUGCAACAAUACAGCUAGGAAAGCCCUGUAAACUGAUGUGACGCUCUCCGUAGGAUGGAACAAUUUCUACUUCCACGAAUCACAAGGCGACACUACUUAAUCUGGCGAACAAUCUACUCUGGUACACAGCCAUCCUUGACGGACAGCGUACAGCUUUUGACGGGCUUUCCUAGGUCUUUAUAGCGGUGACAUACUGGAGGUGACAUACAUACACGCAAAUAUUCACCCAAAUAUUCACGCACUACACAUUCACAAUUUCUCGUUAAAUAACUGGAGGCUAAUGGCGAGACCUUUGGCAUGGCGAACACACAUUUUAAUGUUUGAAA